GGGUCGUCACAGUGUGUAUUCGUCUUUGUGUUGUAGGACUGUGAGGAGGUUGAGGAGAGCUCAGCUGUGUGAGACUGAACUGUCCCCUGUGUAUCCUUGACACCAGCUAACGAUAAGAAGCGCUGUGUUCUGUGUCCCGACAUGCCGUGCUGGAGCAACUGCAUGUGGGGGCGGAGCAGAUGGAGGGGAGGAGUCUGGAGGUCAGCCUAACAGACAUCAAAGCCGAGGCAGAAAGCACCAGUUUUCAGCUGCUUUGGCUGCAGAUGCAGAGGGAAUCCUGUCUGCAGGAGGUCAGGGAUCUGGAGGAGGAGCUGACUGCUCUAUGUAAACACAGAACAUCCUUGACAGAUGGGACCAGGGUAACACAAUUAUUCUAGCCCGCAUGGCACUUUUCCCAGCUCUAUUACAAUCUAAUGAUUUGAUUAUUACAAUAUUUAAUCCCCUAUCUCCCCUCCCUUCCCUUCUCCCCCACAGUCUCAGAGAGUGACCAGUGUCAGUAUGUCUGUCCUUGAGAGAAAGGAGUUGGACAGUGCCAAAACAGAGCUGUUUUCUGAGCAGCAGCACUCUAGACUCAAGCUGGACUCUAUGCAAGAAGUACAGUAUUAGACUGGUGCUCAGAACAUGCUUCAAAGUGAUUGUCACCACUUUGAAUGUGUUUGAAAUUGUUUCUCUCCAUCUGUUUGCUUAUGUGUGUAUGUAGCAGAAGUUGGAUGAAGCUUGUGAGGUGCUCCAGUCUGUGACUGAGGGGAGAGGUCACUGAGGGACAGGUUUGAAGGUCUGAAGGAGAAACACAGGCAGAAACAGGAGCAGGAAGAGGCAGUGGAGGUGCACGUGUGUGAGCUGCAGAAAGAGCUGCGGGUGAAUGAGAGCAGUGUGGGGUCUCUGGAGAGGAUAGCAGCCCAGAAAGAGCUACAGCUGUUGGCUUUCCAGGACGAGAGGAGUGCCUUGAAGUCAGAUGGGCUGCAGGGGGAGUUCCAGAACCUAAGGGAGCAGCACAGCAUCUUUCUGAGAGAGACCCAGGAGCAGGCACUCACACAGAUGGUUGGUGGGCUGGGUAGCCUCUAGUACACUGUGUCUAUGGAUGAGUCCGUUUAACUGUGCGUAUAAAUGUGUGUAACUCACUGUGUGCAUGAUAGUUAGAGCAUAUGUAGUUAAAUGUGUGUGUGCAGUAUGUAAGGGUGUAACGCCCUGGCCAUAGAGAGGGGUUUUUGUUCUUUAUUUUGGUUAGGCCAGGGUGUUACACUGGGUGAGUGUUCUAUGUGCAUUUUCUAUGUUGGUUUGUUUCAUUGAUUUUGGCCGUGUGGCUUCCAACCAGGCACAGUUGU